CAGUCGCCGCGGUAAUACGAAGGGUGCAAGCGUUAAUCGGAAUUACUGGGCGUAAAGCGUGCGUAGGCGGUUUGUUAAGUCUGUUGUGAAAUCCCCGGGCUCAACCUGGGAAUGGCAAUGGAUACUGGCAAGCUAGAGUGUGUCAGAGGAUGGUGGAAUUCCCAGUGUAGCGGUGAAAUGCGUAGAGAUCGGGAGGAACAUCAGUGGCGAAGGCGGCCAUCUGGGACAACACUGACGCUGAGGCACGAAAGCGUGGGGAGCAAACAGGAUUAGAUACCCCGGUAGUCCCUGUCUCUUAUAC
rnacentral:rRNA from 1 species